GCUCAGUUGGUAGAGUACAAAGCUCUUAACCUUAUGGACGUGGGUUCAAGCCCCAU
rfam:Triticum urartu cultivar G1812 contig40402, whole genome shotgun sequence.